rnacentral:sRNA from 1 species
UCUGAAUGAAAGGUGGUGGCUUGCACAAC